rnacentral:rRNA from 1 species
AUUGAACGCUGGCGGCAUGCUUUACACAUGCAAGUCGAACGGCAGCACGGACUUCGGUCUGGUGGCGAGUGGCGAACGGGUGAGUAAUACAUCGGAACGUACCCAGUAAUGGGGGAUAACUAUCCGAAAGGAUAGCUAAUACCGCAUACGCCCUACGGGGGAAAGAGGGGGAUCGCAAGACCUCUUGUUAUUGGAGCGGCCGAUGGCUGAUUAGCUAGUUGGUGGGGUAAAGGCCUACCAAGGCAACGAUCAGUAGCGGGUCUUAGAGGACGAGCCGCCACACUGGAACUGAGACACGGUCCAGACGCCUACGGGAGGCAGCAGUGGGGAAUCUUGGACAAUGGGCGCAAGCCUGAUCCAGCAAUGCCGCGUGCGUGAAGAAGGCCUUCGGGUUGUAAAGCGCUUUUGUCGGGGAGCAAAUCCUUGUGGCUAAUACCCACCGGGGAUGAGAGUACCUGAAGAAUAAGGACCGGCUAACUACGUGCCAGCCGCCGCGGUAAAAC